rnacentral:lncRNA from 1 species
AGAUAGGUCAGUAAAGGUAAGACUUGCCCAGAUAAUCAGCUAAAAUCUCGGUGACAUUUUUAUAGAGUCACAGACUAUUGGAAGAACUGGAAUAGGAACACCUUGGACUUCUUCAGACCAGUAUUCUCAGAAUGUGUUCCAUGGACCAUCUGCAUUAGCCUCAUCAAUGAAGCUUACUACUCAAGAGGGAGGAACUCAGUUUACAUUCUCCAUAAAUAGAACAUGUUUGUCACCUGGAACAAAGAGCAGCAGUUUCUACAGGGUAAGAGGCAAGUGCUUAGACCAGACACCUCCUCCUGGCCCUUCCUCAAGCUCUCACUCCAUGGAAAAAACCUGUUCCUUCCUUACCCUC